CCUACGGGCGGCAGCAGUGGGGAAUAUUGGACAAUGGGGGCAACCCUGAUCCAGCCAUGCCGCGUGUGUGAAGAAGGCCCUCGGGUUGUAAAGCACUUUCAGUGAGGAAGAACGCCUGGUGGUUAAUACCCAUCAGGAAAGACAUCACUCACAGAAGAAGCACCGGCUAACUCCGUGCCAGCAGCCGCGGUAAUACGGAGGGUGCGAGCGUUAAUCGGAAUUACUGGGCGUAAAGCGCGCGUAGGUGGCUUGAUAAGCCGGUUGUGAAAGCCCCGGGCUCAACCUGGGAACGACAUCCGGAACUGUCAAGCUAGAGUGCAGGAGAGGAAGGUAGAAUUCCCGGUGUAGCGGUGAAAUGCGUAGAGAUCGGGAGGAAUACCAGUGGCGAAGGCGGCCUUCUGGACUGACACUGACACUGAGGUGCGAAAGCGUGGGUAGCAAACAGGAUUAGAUACCCUGGUAGUC
rnacentral:rRNA from 1 species